rnacentral:rRNA from 1 species
GACGAACACUGGCGGCGUGCUUAACACAUGCAAGUCGAACGGACAGGCCCUGCUUUUGUGGGGUGCUCGAGUGGCGAACGGGUGAGUAACACGUGAGUAACCUGCCAUUGACUUUGGGAUAACUUAAGGAAACUGGGGCUAAUACCGGGUAGGAGCUACUGCUGCAUGGUGGGGGUUGGAAAGUUUAGGCGGUUGGGGAUGGACUCGCGGCUUAUCAGAUUGUUGGUGGGGUAGUGGCUUACCAAGGCUUUGAAGGGUAGCGGGCCUGGGAGGGUGACCGGCCAAGUUGGGACUGGAAUACGACCCAGACCACAACCGUACGCAGCGGUGGGGAAGAUAACACAGUGGGCGGAGGCCAAGCGCAGCAAAGCCACGUGGGGUGAAUCAGGCAGCGCGUAGGAUUCUACAUUCCUUUGUGCCGAGACGUUAAUGACGGUAAUGGGUGAAGAAGCCCCGGCUAACUACGUG